rnacentral:rRNA from 1 species
GGGUUCGAUUCUGGCUCAGGAUGAACGCUGGCGGCGUGCCUAACACAUGCAAGUCGAGCGAAGUUACUUCAGGAAGCCUUCGGGUGGAAUGGAUUUAACUUAGCGGCGGACGGGUGAGUAACGCGUGGGCAACCUACCCUGUACAGGGGAAUAACAAUGGGAAACCAUUGCUAAUACCCCAUAAUACCUUUUAGGGGCAUCCCUUAAAGGUCAAAGAAUUUCGGUAUAGGAUGGGCCCGCGUCGCAUUAGCUAGUUGGUAAGGUAAUGGCUUACCAAGGCGACGAUGCGUAGCCGGCCUGAGAGGGUGAACGGCCACACUGGAACUGAGACACGGUCCAGACUCCUACGGGAGGCAGCAGUGGGGAAUAUUGCACAAUGGGGGAAAAACCCCCUGAUGCAGCAACGCCGCGUGGGCGAUGAAGGCUUUCGGGUCGUAAAGCUCUGUCCUAAGGGAAGAUAAUGACGGUACCUUAGGAGGAAGCCCCGGCUAACUACGUGCCAGCCGCUGC